UCCUCCCUCUUUCUUCGUGCUUAACACAUGCAGGUCGAACGAUGAAGCCUAGCUUGCUAGGUGGAUUAGUGGCGCACGGGUGAGUAUAACGUGAGUAACAUCCCUUUACCUCUUGGAUAAGCCUGGGAAACUGGGUCUAAUACCGGGUACGACCACUCUCCGCACGGGGUGUUGGUGGAAAGCGUUCUGUAGUGGUUGUAGAUGGGCUCGCGGCCUAUCAGCUUGUUGGUGAGGUAACGGCUCACCAAGGCGCCGACGGGUAGCCGGCCUGAGAGGGUGACCGGCCACACUGGGACUGAGACACGGCCCAGACUCCUACGGGAGGCAGCAGUGGGGAAUAUUGCACAAUGGGCGCAAGCCUGAUGCAGCGACGCCGCGUGAGGGAUGACGGCCUUCGGGUUGUAAACCUCUGUUAGCAGGGAAGAAGAGAAAUUGACGGUACCUGCAGAGAAAGCGCCGGCUAACUACGUG
rnacentral:rRNA from 1 species